ensembl:lncRNA
CCCAGAUUGUCUGAUGAAAGUCCUUCUGGCAAACUGUCCAGUCAAAGUGUCACAUCAAACCAGCCUAGGUCACUCAGGCCGCGAAAGAGAACAUGCUAUGGUGAUGCGUUAGGAAAGAGUACCCCCUCUGGAGAAGCAAUGGAAGCAAAGCCCUUAAAGCUACAAAAGAAGGACACUGUAGGAACAGUGCUGACAACUGCCUCACCUGAAAAUCCACACACCCCUCCCCUGGACUGUACCAGUGGUCCACUUCAGCAGACUCUCUCAGCGGGUGAUACCACUGUAUCGAAGCAAGAGGGCGGGGAGGGUGCUCAUAGGUUGAUGGAGUCCUCCGUUAAAGGUGACAAGGUUGUGUUAGAAAAGGUAUCGACGCUGAGGUUCCUCAGUCCCGCCCUGGACCCACCACCAACUGUAGCCAACCCUCACCCCUACACCCCGCCCUCCCUAACGUCUCAGGGGGUCAAAGCCGGGCAUCCCCGGCCCUCCCUGCCGACCUCCGAAGGGGUCAAAUUUGGGGAAUGGGAUGGUCAAACGACCAGUGCAGAAGAUCACUGUGGAGAGAAGAACACGGAGCCUAAAAUGGAGGAGAGACACUGCGAACAGCCGGAGGCCGCGGAUGAGAGAGACGGGAGACAGAAUCCACCAGUGAAAGACAGAUCCAGGGAACCACAGACGAAGAGGAGGAAGAGGAUGGGGAUGUGUGGGCUAGGAGAGAGGGAGAGGAGAUGUGGAGUGGAGGAGGAGUGGCUGCAGGAAAGAAAGACUUUGAAAGAAAAUGGGAUGGUAAUGAGGAGAGCAGAAGAGGAGGAGAUGGAGGAGGACGAGGGGCAAAGUGGCGACGGCAGUGGGGCCGGCCUUGUGGCCGUGGAGGGAACUGCAUCGAGAGCCGCGUCAUCCUCUGACCUCGCCCUCCUUUCAUCCCUCCCUCCCUCCGACCCCACAGGGGUUAACACUGAGCAGAAGGAGGGUGAGGAGGAGAAGGAGGAAGAGGAGCCCCGGCGGUCUGGCGACGAGGCCGGUCGUUUAAGCCCCGGCCGUGUGUCUGUUUCUGGGCCAGACCCGGUCGCGGAGGUCCUGGAGGUGGGACCACAGCAGCCUGUGAUGCUGGGUGACGAGGAGCUCGGCAUGAUGGGGGUUGUGGAGGACAACCAGGAGGGAGACAGGAGGGGAUAUAGUGCUACUGAUCCUCCGUCCUUCUCCAGCGGCCCUCCACCCACCCCUCUGGAGGAAGAGUCCGCGGUAGAAGUCUGGAACCUACCUAACCGGAGAGAGACGGGGUCAGAGGUCGGGGUUCAUUCCCUGGCUCGGUCAGAGGUCGGGGUUCAUUCCCCGGCUCCCAUUCUGCCUGAGGGCCGUGUCCAUAGAGCUGACAGCACCCAGGCAGAGUCAGAACACAAGGACUCCUCAGACCAACCUCUGCCCACAAAGCCGGAUCCUGGAGCGGCCCUGGGUAACCCCAGGGGGCCUGGUGACGCUGCACUGACCCCUGGUGGCCAGGAGGAGUAUAUCCAAUCAGUCCCGGUGGUUCUGUCCAGAGUGGACCAUGAAGAUGCUGUCCAUCCGCAUGGGGAAGAGGCCCGGGACUACAUAUCUGACUCUCAGCUCAACACCAUUACUCUGCUUGAGGAUGAGGAUGGACACGAAGAGGGAGAGCAUGAAGACGCCUCAGAACUGGUCUGUGGCCUGAUCAGAGAACUCUCCUCUCUAAACCGGCUCGUGAUGGCUACGGAUCGGGAGCUGGAGACUUUUCGCCGUGGAAAGAAGACCGCAAGGACCCCGACACAUCGUGUGUUCCCCCCACGACGGACUGAGAUCUAGGAUGCCCCAUUUUAGACGUGGCUUUAAUCGUCACAACGUCCCCGAAGGCUAACAAAGCCCGCACACAGUGGAAGUUAAUUUGAGACUUAUAGAUGAAAAUCAGUUUAUUAAAAACAGCGAUCCUUAUUGUCAACACAUUGAAACGCAACUUUCAUUUCUGUUAAGGGAUAUGGACGUAACCUUGUAAUUAUGCCAGUUUUACCGAUGCAUUUCUGUUGCCGUUUUAUUCCCUUGUUCCCCUAAUGCCGAGGACUUGUUAUAGUGACAUGUGAACUUUCUAAUAAAUCAAGCUUUCCCGUUUAAAUAAAAACUGAAUAUUGAAUGUGGCAUGUGUAGAGGAGACAAAAGGUAUGGACAAUUGAGAGAAAAUGCUUAGGCCUACAUGCAGGCUUUCUC